CAGUAGCCACGGUAAUACAGAGGGUGCGAGCGUUAAUCGGAUUUACUGGGCGUAAAGCGUGCGUAGGCGGCUUCUUAAGUCGGAUGUGAAAUCCCUGAGCUUAACUUAGGAAUUGCAUUCGAUACUGGGAAGCUAGAGUAUGGGAGAGGAUGGUAGAAUUCCAGGUGUAGCGGUGAAAUGCGUAGAGAUCUGGAGGAAUACCGAUGGCGAAGGCAGCCAUCUGGCCUAAUACUGACGCUGAGGUACAAAAGCAUGGGGAGCAAACAGGAUUAGAUACCCCAGUAGUCCCUGUCUCUUAUAA
rnacentral:rRNA from 1 species